UACAGAGGCCACGAGCGUUAGGCGGAAUCACUGGGCUUAAAGCGUGUGUAGGUGGAUGGGUAAGUACCUUGUGAAGUCCCACGGCUCAACCGUGGAACUGCUUGGCAUACUGCCUGUCUUGAGGCACUCAGGGGCGAGCGGAACAAAUGGUGGAGCGGUGAAAUGCGUAGAUAUCAUUUGGAACGCCAAUGGUGAAGACAGCUCGCUGGGGGUGUACUGACACUGAGACACGAAAGCCAGGGGAGCAAACGGG
rnacentral:rRNA from 1 species